rnacentral:rRNA from 1 species
UACGGGGGGGGGCAAGCGUUGUUCGGAAUUACUGGGCGUAAAGGGCUCGUAGGCGGCCAACUAAGUCAGACGUGAAAUCCCUCGGCUUAACCGGGGAACUGCGUCUGAUACUGGAUGGCUUGAAUUCGGGAGAGGGAUGCGGAAUUCCAGGUGUAGCGGUGAAAUGCGUAGAUAUCUGGAGGAACACCGGUGGCGAAGGCGGCAUCCUGGACCGGCAUUGACGCUGAGGAGCGAAAGCCGGGGGAGCAAAGCGGG